rnacentral:rRNA from 1 species
GACGAACGCUGGCGGCGUGCUUAACACAUGCAAGUCGAACGGAAAGGCCCUGCUUGUGUGGGGUGCUCGAGUGGCGAACGGGUGAGUAACACGUGAGUAACCUGCCCUUGACUUUGGGAGAACUUCAGGAAACUGGGGCUAAUACCGGAUAGGAGCUCCUGCUGCAUGGUGGGGGUUGGAAAGUUUCGGCGGGUGGGGAUGGACUCGCGGCUUAUGAGCUUGUUGGUUGGGUAGGGGCUUACCAAGGCUUUGACGGGUAGCCGGCAUGAGAGGGUGAACGGCCACAUUGGGACUGAGAUACGGACCAGACUCCUACGGGAGGCAGCAGUGGGGAACAUUGCCCAAUGGGCGGAAGCCUGAUGCAGAAACGUCGGGUGCGGGAUGACGGCCUUCGGGUUGUAAACCGCUUUAGCCUGUGACGAAGCGGGAGUGACGGUAAUGGGUAAAGAAGCACCGGCUAACUACGUG